CGGUCUUCAAACGUGGGGGAUGCUCAGGGGACCCGCGGUCCCGCCCCGUGGCCGCGGGUGGUGACCGCGGGUGUCUCCUGAGUCGGGAACAGCUGACCCGCGGUCUUACCCCGCGGCCGCGGGUGGUGACCGCGGGGUACUGGGCGUUUUGCACAGUCCGCUCGUUUUGCUCCGUUCUCCCUCGUCCGGACUCGGAUUUGGUCGCCGUUUGCGCUCACGGAUUCCUCUCGAGACGUACUUCAAUCUCAUAUCUUCAAAAUCCUCCAAUUAAUCCUUUAUUUUUCCUGAAAUUACUCCAAAACUACACCAAGAUAUCAAAUCUUCAUAAAACUAAAUAUUCGGGCACAAACAAGCAUUCACAAGCAAAACAUGAAGGGAAAUGACAACAAAACAUGUGGAAUUAAGGUAUGAAAACCAUGUUUGUCAACCCCCCAAACUUAAAGUGUUGUUUGUCCCCAAACGACGAAGAGAAGAGAAAUAAAAGUAAACAAACAUGUGAGCAUGA
rnacentral:lncRNA from 1 species